AAAGCAGUAUUAUAUAUGGUCAAUGGUCCUGGUGGGAUCUUCCGGAACCCCCAAAAAAUCUGUGUUACCGGAAGUCCCUAGUCCGUGUACAAAUAAGUGGUAGGCAAUCAGUCCAGUGAGUUUCACCCAGAAGUCAGAGGGGUUAGACGUGAAGGCUCUUACAUAUAAGAGAAAUUUUGGCCUACGGGAGGAGCAGAUGUCAAGCUCUGCCCUUUGAAUUUUAAGAUAUAUUGUAUACCUUUCUGUUGCAUGGGACCGCAAUUUAAGAUAUAUCUUGAUAUAUUGUUUUAAGGUGGCAAGAAGAAGAUGGAGCGUUCCCGAGAGGAGGACGAUGAAGAUGACGGUAAUGAGGUCGUGGAUUCCUCCUCCGGUGAUGGAGUUAGCAAUUGCUUCGACAAUGAAGGAGAUGAGGCCUAGUUGUUCCUUCCAAUUAACUGCUUAUAUUUUGUUUGCUAAAACUCGAUCCGACUAUUAUUAUGUUUGUUGAAAUUACUACUUGUGCACUUUGGAUUAAUGUGUGUGUGUUUGAAACUUUAUAUAUUUUGAAUUGCA